AUAAUUUGAUUCAUUAGCGUACGUAAGAAAGCACCUAAAGCUUGCAAAAUUUAUGAUUUCACCCGCGCGUCUUCCUCCGCCCACUUUUGUGACGUCACCGAGGCGCAACUGUCGCGCAUCUAUAGUUAACUACGUGGCAAGAUGGCAAUUUAAUGACACAACGAUGACGUGACACAGACUAAAAACUUUUUGCGAUAUAUAGGUCUACCAGAAUCUGAUGGCAAAA